rnacentral:snRNA from 1 species
CGAACCAACAACAACCGUAA